GGGAAUGUGGCUUAGUGGUAGAGUGCUUGCCUAGCAUGCAUAAGGCCUUGGGUUCGAUUUCUCAUUACCA
rfam:Dipodomys ordii contig_4931, whole genome shotgun sequence.